GGCUCAGGAACACUAUUUGUGAACGUGUUACCCAAUAAAGUGUUAGCAAAGGAGCCCAUAAAGCUGCCAGAGGGAUUUAACCAUUGCUAGAACGAGAGGGAAACACUAUUCAGUUGGGCUGGACACAGAGUGAGGUCUGCUGACUUUAUCACAAAUGCCAGAGGUUUUUUAUUAUUAUUAUUUAUUUAAAACACAUGGAAGAAAAGACAGUUGGGUUUGGCACCAGAAGGUCUUGUGGUAAAGAAAAAAAAAAGGAAUAUCCAAAAGUGCUCAAAGUAAUCUAAGGGGGAGAAACAGAUGUGAAGAAACGAAGGCAGGAUGUCAUGGGGUGCCGCGCUGGUCCAUUUAAAGCGACGGCAAAAGGCGAGAGCACUUCUCCAUGGCGGGUGAUAGACACGAGCAAUUGAACAGUUCAUACCCUCUCUGUUGUCCCUGUCACGAGAUUUGUAGGUCGCUCUCAGCCAGCCACUGGGGCUAAAGGGCACAGGUCAUGACCUGCUGAUUUACCAAAGUAUGAUCAACUCACACAAAUUAUAGGCGUAAGAGAGUCCUGACAACUUCAAUAUGAUGUGCAAGGAGCACAAUUAUUUGUGACAUGUGAAGCCAGUGUGAGACCAUAAUUCUGUCGCUGCGUGACAAGGCAUUAUUAGGCAGGGCAGGCAGCGGCUUGAACCAGGAGCAGCUGGAGGAGAGGCGGAGAGAGAGAGAGAGAGAGAGCGCGCGCUCCAUCGGGAAGGCCUGUGAUGGGCUUUCUCUCCCAGAGUGCCAAACAGCAAGGCCCCCUUUGUGGAAUGUGGGGCCGCUCCGAGGACGAGGCGCCCUCCUGCUAUCAGUGUGGCUGCUGGGUGAAGGAGGAGACGGUCUAGGGGGCCCUCUGUACUUCAGCAGUUUCUGCAGGGGAUCAGUUCAAGGGAGGUGUAGGUAAGCGUUUUCCUCCUGGGAAUGGGGACCGGGGCUGUCCCCAGCAUCCGGGCCCCAGUAACGCAGGGCUUCCUCAGGCUGCGUGUGGGGGUCACGUGACAGCCGAGGGGCCCACAGGCUUAUCUGCGAAGCGAGGAGCCGGACUGUGUUGUGGGUGACUCCUGCAGAGGGUGGCUGCUGUGUUUGGGGGCCGCUUCUUAGCUCGGUGACUUUUGCCCCACUGUUGGGCAGUGUGUGGUCAGGACCUGAAUUCACGCAGUUUCCAAGAAUGCUCCCUGGACACCUGCUGGGUGCCAGCCACUGCCCCAACCGCAGAGAACCGGAGUGAGAAACACCUCUGGGUGCCCCCGAGAGCUUGCGGUGGGUGAGGGUAGGCAGAUGACAAGCGAUUAAAAUCCACGGAGGGGUGGGUGCUGUAGGGAUCGUGGGCGAACCACGAGGGCGUGGCUCACUUCCUCACGUCAUUCGGACAGCUGUCGGUGCAGGCCUCCCACCCCACCGUGCGAUACAGGUCUUCUGCCUCUCGGGCUCUGCCUCCUCCCCUGCUUCAAGGCCAUCUGACGUCUGGAGGCCGGACCCGAGGGUCACCUGGCCAGAGGGUCAUCAGCGGCAGGCACAGACAGUUGCUACAGGCAACUCUGUAGAGUAGCAAUCAGCACUGGGAUCGUUUUGUUGUUGCCGUUUACUGUUCCUCCUCCUACAAUGUGAGCUCCGAGAGGGCGGGGCUCUGUCUGGCUCUCCUCAGUAUCCCAGUUGCCUAGAACAGUGUUGGCACAAAGUCCUUGCCCGGGAAAUGCAUGAAUGCCAAGCACUGUUCUUCGUGUUCUUGCCCUUAAAUGCACGAGCCCAGGGGCACCUGGGUGGCUCAGUCAGUUGAGCGUCUGACCUUCGACUUCGACUCAGGUCACAAUCUCAUGGUUCAUGAGUUCUGACGGUGCAGGACCUGCUUGGGGUUCUCCCUCUCUCCCUCGUUCUGUGCUCCGCCCCUGCCCUCUCUCUCUCUCUCAAAAUAAAUAAACUUUAAAAAAAUAAAUAUAUGAGCCCAUUUAAUCCCCCCAACCCCCCAGUGAAAUAAGCAUGUUAGGUAUCUGUUGCUGCAUAAGUUAUCAGCUUGCAGGGUCAUGGCUUAAGAUGACAAUAUUCAUUAUCUCUCACGGUUUUGUGCCUGGGCUGAGCCGAUUUUUCUUCCGGUUUUGCUUAGAGCUUUUCAUGAGGCUGCAUGUCCCUGGGAGCUUGGUCAGGGCUUGAACAUUCAAGAUGUCUGCUCAUCCUCCAGGCCCCCUAAUUGUGUGCCAGUCGAGCCUCGACUUCCUUACAGCAUGGGGUCUGGGCCCCCCGAGGGAAGCAGCAGAAGCUUACGGGCCUGGGCUCAGAAGUUCCACAAUAUCACUUCCUUCCCAUCCCGUCAGCCCCAACAAGUGCUGAGGCCAGCCGGUAUUCGAGGAGAGGCGAAUGGACCCUCCCUCUUGACGCCAGGAGUGGCAUUUGCCUCUGCAGAUGAUGGGAUCGUAUCCAGAGACUCUCUGUCACAGUAUUAUCAGCCUGCUUCACAGCCGUGGACACUGAGGCUUGGUGAGAUGAAAAGAUGCAUCUAAAAGUACGUGGGAAGAAAACGGCAGAACCAGGGUAGCAGCCUGGAAUAGUCUAACCUCACGUUCGGUGUUUGUUGCUCACUGAUGACUCUUCGUAAUAGCCCCUCCUGAAUCUCGUGUGACAGAGCUGGUCUCUUCGGUGGCUCUCCCUCUGCUGUUUACUUUCUCAUCACAGUGGCCAGGGUUUAGGAAGGCUGGGGCUCCUUAGACCCAGAACCUCAUCCAGCCUCUACAGCUCAUAAACCGUGUGACCUUGAACAAGU